AGCCGUUCUGCCUUACAGGGUUGGGACCCCGGAAGCUUAUCGGCGCGGUUGCGGCCGCGGCUCCCUGUGUUUUGAUCAGAACACCACGUUCCUGCUUAACAGAAAUUGGUCAGUAUGCGCUUAAUGCUCAUAGUGUGGCGUCCGGACACGCAGCGAGAGAAAAACGCAAUAACCUGGUCCGUCAGCGUUGCUUGCUUCAGCAGGCCUUAAAUAUGUGCUGCAUCUUUUGGGGGACGUUACUUAAGAGGCAAACAUCUGGCUCGAAGUCUUCCAUUAUUUUCAGCAAGCAUUUAGGAGGUGACUGCACUAUAAGGAGAAUAACCCACAGUAGCACAGGUUGGGAGUCUGCACAGUGCCGAGGCCAACAGACAAAAACUUUUCAACUCUUUGCUGCUCUGUCCGCUCUAAAUUUAUCUUUACACCUUCAGAGAAGAGCACCCUUCUGUUUUCCCCUCCUACCUCAAACCCAGUAGGUCAAAAUUCUUCCAUCAAUCAUUUUUACCCAUUCUAUCUCUCUCUUUCAUUUAUACAGAUUCCAAGCUGCCUUUCUUCUAAAAAAAAAAAAAAAAAAAAAGUAAAAAAACUCCUUUGACCUUGCCUUUCUAAAUGAAAUCUGUCUGUUGUUUUCAUGGCUGCACUUCUUGAAACCAUGUUCUACAAUUGCUACAUUUGCUUCUUAACCUUCUGUCUUCAGUCCAUAGCCCACCAAUCCACUGAAACUAUUCUAGCUAAGGCUACGAUACCCAAGCCUCCUAAUUGGCAGGUCUAAGGGACCCUUUCUGACAUAGGUGAUGUAAUUUACCACCAAUCUCUGUCACUUGUGACUGCUGUUUCCUCCCUGAACGUUUCUUCUCCCUGGUUCUUGUUCACAGCCCCUGAUAUUUCCUCCCAGGCUCUCUCUUCUGCCCACCCAGCAAAUGUUUUUGUUCCUUACAGUUCCCUCCUAAAUGUUCUCUGUUCUCUCACCGUGUUCUUCAUGAGUGAUGUAAUAAAUUCUCAAGGCUCUCAAAUCUGUAGUUCCAAUCUGAUGCUGUUUCCAGAGCUUCAGAUUCACAUUUUUAGUUGCCUUCUGGAUGUCACCUUGAAAUCAUUCAAAACUUCAAAUUCAGUAUUUGCAAACAAAACUGAUCAUCUUCUCUUCUUCCUCCAAGC
rnacentral:lncRNA from 1 species